CCUUGACAAGAAUCAUUGGAAAUCUUGGUUCUUGGAGACCUAGCCGUUCCUUCAAUUUUUUCCCUCAUAGUUACGUGUUACGCAGAUCUAUUCCACAUGGGACGCAGAUCUAUUCCACAUGGUUGCUGCUACUGGGAUUCUGCUUCCAGAGAUCGUUAGAUCGCAUCAUGAUCUGCCUUUCUAUGCCAGAUUUCGUUUCCGAUGUUGAGGAGAUCUGAUCGGUCGUAUCUACGGCUUAAUCUCCCGUCCGCAUAAACCAAAGCCUCUUGCUUUGGAAAAGGGUUGGUCGAACGUGUUGUAUCAGAAACCAACAUCUGACGGUGGAGAUUUGUUGGCUGAUUGAUUUGAGGCGGCUGGAGGUUAUUUUCUCUGAUAUAUGGUGGAUGAUGAAUCAAGGCGACACGUGAAUAGCGAUGUGGGAUAACGUGUUUUGUAAGUUGAAUGGAUGUGUAAGAUAUCGGGGCAAAGAGGCCUUGUUUGCUGAGGGCUGAGUCCUGAUCUAUCUUUGUCCAUCCCGACCUUUGCCAUGACAGGUGCGCUUGCAUGGCAGGUCACCCAAACUUAAUAAAAUUUAUAUCUUUUUGUGUUUCGAGGGGAGAUCGCACGGGAAUUGCCCGGGUUCUCCCCUCUGGUGUGCGUUGUCCUUGUUUUUCUCUUUUCCUUUUCCCAAUAUUUAUCUGCACCAUACGGGUUUGAUUCACGAUCCAUGUCAUCAUCGGAAAAGCUCAUGCUCACCAAAGGCAUUGAUCUACUACUUUCAAAUGGGGGAGCCCAAGGUAUAUUUUACAUCAUUUUUGCUGGAAUUCGCCUUUUAGUUUAAUUGCACGAAUUCUCGAUGGAACAGUCAGUUUAUCCAAAUUCGCUUUCAACAUGCACUGUUUAUGUUAGUAGCAAUAUUUUAUACCCUGAACUAAUAUGCAUUAGAACUUAAGGAAAAGAAGGCUUGUAAGCUAUAUUCCUUCCAUUUGCUACUGAUAGCUCAUAUGUUUUGUAAGCUAUAUUCCUCACAUUUGCUACUGAUAGCUCAUGUGAACUAAUAUGCAUUAGAAUUUAAGGAAAAGAAGGCUUGUAAGCUAUAUUCCUCACAUUUGCUACUGAUAGCUCCAAUGAAUCUAACCCAUUAACAUGGAUUAGUUCUUAAAGUUGGUCAUGCUGCAUAUAUAUCUCCCUUUUUGAUAAAUAAUAGCAAUUUUCUAGCUUUGUUUUGUAAAUAUAGGCAUGUUUUAUGGGUUUUUGUCAUCUUUCAUCUAAAAAGGAUUGUAGGAUCACCUACUAACAUAAAGUGAUGGCUUGUUUUUGAUAAUUUCUAACUAAGAAGUGUCAUGCUUUAGAUUUGUCACCAUCUUUGGUCUGCAAAAUUGCUAAUGGUAUUUCCCGAUUUUUGCCAAAAAUGCAUUAUCUGUUAUAGGUUAAACAGCAUUUUCUAAUUGAUUGCAAACUUUACCAAAAUGUUUUAAGAAGCCUUUUCUAGGAGAUAUAGAAGAUAAUGAUGCUCUUGAAUUUGCUUUGAUAUACUGGUGGUACAGUCAUUAAAUUAAAAUUUAGCUGACAACUUGUAUGACAUAUUUACCCAACUGAUUCUGAAAAUUUGAUACACAUUAUACUUUUUAAUUUAACUGGAGGGAAUAGUAUGUGAUUGGCCGUUUUCUGUAUCUGCCAACUUGCGGAUGACCUUGGCACAAAUCAGCAUUUGCAAUUACAUGAAUCGGAAUAUGAUGUCUGCUCAAAUAAUUGCUGCUGUUCAUGCAUAUAGUGCUGCUUUCCUUUUUAAUUGCAGUUUUAAACAUGUAUGCUUGCAAUAUUGUUUCACCACAAAGCAUCCUAUCAAAGUACAAUAUUUGGCCAAUGCAAAGUCUUCAUUCGAAGUGUGUGCCACUCAAAUAUGGGCAUCUGAUCAGACUAAUCAACUCAUUGUUCUUAGACCUGACUUUACAUUUCCACUUCUAUUAACAUCUUAAAUUGGUAAAAUUCAAUCCUCUGGAAAUGGCUUUCCUUCUCUCCACUAGUAUUAUUUACAUUGCCUUAUUACUUUAAUCUAGUAUCAUCCAAACUAUUGUGUUAUUAUUGUAUUGUCAUUUGUGAUUUUCUAUCUUACAGUUGUAGUACGUGGAUACUAUAUUGUAUGAUGUGAUAGUGUAUUUGCUUGUGCUCGGCUCUAUUGUUCUUGAAGCCCUUGGUUGGGCUCCACUGUUAUAUUGUGUUGCAAUAAGGUUUUGUUGGAAGAUGUUGUGUAAGUGUGAUUGUGUGCUGGAAGAAUCUUUUGUAUUUCAGCCAUGUUGUGCAUCUUGAGCGGGCAUGUUCUCCAUGAGGAUUAUUCCAAGGUUUGUGGAGUGAAGAAUUUGUUAAGCCAAGUUCAAUUUUCCAGGUUUCAUCUUGCAUCAUGCAAGUUAAAAGAAUGACAGCAUUCGAGUCUCCUGAUAACCAAAUUAAUUGCAGCAGCUUCUUAGGCCUUCUAAAAUGAUUGGCUUCACCUGCAAGGAGAUAAGGACUAAAAUGAUUGGCUUCAACUGCAAGGAGAUAAGGAUUGGCUUCAACUGCAAGGAGUUAAGGACUAAAAUGAUUGGCUUCAACUGCAAGGAGAUAAGGACCGAUCCCCAAUUUCCAAGUUGAGGUUUGAGGAUCACCUGUUUCCAAUUUUCUGGGAAAUUGCUCUUUUCAAGGUACAUGUCAGAUUUGUACAUCCAACUUUAAAUAGUAAAAGUUUUUCAGUGGACUACGGUCCCGUGGUUUUUCCCCUUGAUAAAAAGGGGUUUUCCACGUAAAUUUUGUUGUCUUUGUUGAGUUUAUUUGUUUCACAAGAUUGAUUUUGCCUCGUGUUUCAUCACCUCUUUAGAUAAGAAGUUACAUGUUCGUGUUUUUUAUUUCAAUCAGCCCUCUAUGUUUUUAACCUUCA